AGGUCUGGGUGCUGUGGGACUGAAGCCAACCACUCCUUGUAGGCCUCUGGGUUUUUGUUGGAAGAAAAAAGAAGGUCCGAGUCUGUGGGAAGAUGGUGACGACAGCAGCCAAUGACUCGCAGCUGUUAAUCCUAAUAACUGGCAGCCCUCGGUGUAAUGGCGGAUUUGCAGUGAACACUCUUUUACAAGUGUUUUGAUUCAGUUUUUACCGUGACCCUGAAGCUUGCAGACGCCUCCACCUCCAGGCACAUCUGGACCUCCUCUGUACUGAGGUUCUGCAGGCUGGCCUGACAUUGGCGAAUGCUGGUGACAGACUGAACAUCUCCACCCAACUUCACCUAGCUGUACACCGGAGGAAGCCGUUCCACCGCUUUGCUGAAUUCCCUGUGCAGCCUGGGCUCGUUUGACACUCGGUAGCUGAUUUCAGGAACAAAAAUAAACAGUGAAACAAAUGUUUGGGCUGCAGCUAAUGACUGUUUUAGUUAUUUACUAAUUUAUCAAUUAUUCUUACAACUAUUUGAUUAAUGGGAUAUGAAAAGUACACUUUCUUCUAUUUUUUCAUUAAAAUGUUUUUCAUACAGUGCUAGAAGUUCAUCUUGGCUAUAUAGUUAGUAAUUGAAUAGCAAAAGCUACCUGA